rnacentral:rRNA from 1 species
UACGGGAGGCAGCAGUGGGGAAUAUUGCACAAUGGGCGCAAGCCUGAUGCAGCCAUGCCGCGUGUAUGAAGAAGGCCUUCGGGUUGUAAAGUACUUUCAGUCGUGAGGAAGGUGUUAAGGUUAAUAGCCUUAGCAAUUGACGUUAGCGACAGAAGAAGCACCGGCUAACUCCGUGCCAGCAGCCGCGGUAAUACGGAGGGUGCGAGCGUUAAUCGGAAUUACUGGGCGUAAAGGGCACGCAGGCGGUUAAUUAAGUUGGAUGUGAAAUCCCCGGGCUUAACCUGGGAAUGGCAUUCAAGACUGGUUAGCUAGAGUCUUGUAGAGGGGGUAGAAUUCCAUGUGUAGCGGUGAAAUGCGUAGAGAUGUGGAGGAAUACCGGUGGCGAAGGCGGCCCCUGGGACAAAGACUGACGCUCAUGUGCGAAAGCGUGGGGAGCAAACAGGAUUAGGAUACC